rnacentral:lncRNA from 1 species
UCUGUUUGCUUUCGCCUACCCAUCUGCUUGAUUGAGCCUGCUCCUUGGGAGCUCCUUCCACAUGGCUUCCUGCAUGGCCUGCCCUACUUCUGUCUCUAGGAACUGUGAGUAUGCCUCUUCAUAUGAACUUUUCAUGGCCAUGUUAGAGUGAUCCUCUAAGAUUCAACCAGCAGGAGUCACUCUAACAUUUUCUAUAGUAAUGGCAAUGAGGAUGGGAUCAUUCUAACCCAAAGCACAGGCAACAAAAGCAGAAAUAAAUAAAUGGCACUACAACAAACUAAAAAGUUUCUACACAGCCAAGGAAACAAUCAACAGAGUGAAGAGACAGCCUACAAAAUGGGAGAAGAUAUUUUCAAACCAUACAUCUGAUGCUCUACUAAAAAUACAAAAUUAGCCAGGUGUGGUGGCGAGUGCCUGUAAUCCCAGCUACUCGGGGGCUGAGGCAGGAGAGUCACUUGAACCCGGGAGGUGGAGGUUGCAGUGAGCUGAGAUUGCGCCAUUGCACUCCAGCCUGGGCAACAAGAGCGAAACUCCGUCUCAAAAAAACAAACAAACAAACAAAAAAUUAUUUUAACUGAUGCAAUAGUGUCAGGAAGAUGGCAGGAUCCGUGCUUGGAGCAGCAAGUUGCCUUCCCAAGGAAGGAACUGUCAAGGAGUUCUCAAGGAACUCCAAUCCUUCAAUGAAGAUAUGCUAGAUGCAUAGAUGCUUAUUCAAGUAAAAAAUUUUUGUAGAAAUCACGUGCAGAAUUCAUUUUCAACUUUAGAUUGACUUGGUGCAACAUGGAUAAAAUUGGAAUAUUUGAAAGAACGGGGAGCCUGGAAGUCCAUGAGCUAAAACUCCCCCCUUCAUCUACCAUAUUUCGCCCCCACUCACGACAUUAGAUGCAGAUGACGAGGGAAGACUUUGGGACACAUGAGGAACUGGGAGCCCAUGGAUGCCUCUCCAGAAGACUAAAGAUUAGGCCUGUGGGCUUAGGAUUAAAACUUCCUAGUCUGAAAUCAAGCUCUACCAGCUCCCAAGUGUGUGACCCUGGGGACACUAUUAACUUCUCUGUUUCUUGAGUUUCCUCAACUGUAAAAUGGACAUAAUAAUCACACCAACCUCAUAAGAUUGUUAUGGGAAUUAAAUGAACUGAUAUAUGCAAAGUGCCUAAUAGUAUCUGACUGUAUCCUCAAACCUAGAUAUUCAGUUUUACUAUUAUUAUUAUACAUAUUAGCUAGACAUUAUUGUUGUUAGGUAGAAUUUUAGUAAUAGCAACAAUUUUAAAAAACAGAUCCUCUGCCCUCAAGGAUUUAUGAUGUUAUGUGACAACCUCGGCCAAUGUCUGGGGGAGGUGGGGGUACCAUGGUGAUGAGCUGAGGUCAUGUGCUUAGCCCUAGAAUCAUGGGUGCUGAGAUCAUGUGCUCAGCACCAAGGUCAUGGUGCAGCCAUGGCCUCUGGGGAGAAUCACUAUGACUAGGGCAAGGUGCAUCCUAAUUAGGGUCUACACAGAUGCUCAUAGAAAAAGUGCUCCAAAUCUUGCCUCAUGCUGGGAUAGGAGACAAGAAAAUGCUCCCAAGUGGAAAUCCAGAGGAACAGGAGAGAUGGACUGAGAGGGAGAGGAGACAUCACAUAGAAAUACACCUGUAUAGAGCAGGCUGCACACAACUGUGAGUCCUAUGAGCAGAGAAGGUGGCAGGGCCUGUCCAGGUGAGCUGGGACACAGGGCUGGGGAUAUCUGUCUGAAUGACUCUCAUGAAGAGACCUCAGACUCUAUGCUCUGCAGGGGAGGAGAAGCCCCACCUUGCCAUGAUGUCCCAGGAGGGAAGUUGCUGUGGGAGGAAGGGGCCAUGAGACUGGGGCCAUCUUCCAUUGUGAAAGAGGAAGUGGACACAGUUGCCACUGCUAGGAAGUUGCUGACGUCUGUGCUUGGGGUUCCCAGACCUGGGAGCCUUGGACAGUACUGGAGAGAGGUUGACUGACAUAGAGCCUGCUCUAUGUCCCAGAGACUCUUACCUCAUGCCAGGGGUCCCAUGACCCUUCCUAAUUUGAGAGUUCAGACCUAUAGGGUUCUGUAGCCAAGGAUUGAGCUUGCAGCUUCAGAGACCAUAAUUCCAGGUGUGGCACAUUUGAGGGCUUGUGGCUACAGAAGCCUUUGGGGGUGGAACCAAAUCUCCUGGGUGACCCCUACAAGAAGUCUCUCAAACCAACACCAACUAACAAGCUGAGCAAAUCAAAAAACAACAACUGCUCUUAGAUCUGUCGGAGAAAUGAGGUCAUAGGGCAAAAUUAGAGAGACAGCAGGGUGAUAUGGAGAAUUACAACUUCCUGAAUUAGAAACCUCCAUGGGAAAGAGUGCUGGGGUCAGAAAACCUGCACCAUGAAUGGUGAAUUGCUAUAAGUUCAGUGAGGACCAGUCUGAGCUAAAAACUCAGGAGGACCCAGUCAUGGGAACUCCCACACUUCUGUGAAUUUUACCUACAGCAGCUUGAUUGGUCCUCAUAGUGGGUAUGAGAGAAAUAUUCAGUAGUGCUUCCUGAAGAGGAAGGAGAAAGGGGACCAUUUCAAAUUAUACCAGAGUGUUCUCAUCAUCUUAUGCUUGUUCCAUAUCAGAAAUAUACAAGAAGACAAGCACUGUUCCAACUAUCCUUGCUAUGUUUUACAAAGAAAUAAUAAUUUAAUCCUCAAUGUUUCUAAUCCUUUGAAUUACCAUAAACUAAAUAUUUUUCCCUUCUGUCCACAUUUGCAACUGAUAAUAUUAUAUUUUCUAAUAUUUUGACAAAAAUUAUGAGGACCACAGAGUAGUCAUUAUAUUCCCCUUUGGAUGU